CCGGAAUCACUGGGCGUAAAGGGUGUGUAGGUGGUCUGAUGUGUCAGAUGUGAAAUCUGGCUGCUUAACGGCCAAACUGCAUCUGAAACUAUUGGGCUUGAGGACGUGAGGGGAGAGUAGAACUCGCGGUGUAGCGGUAGAAUGCGUGGAUAUCGCGAGGAAUGCCGAUGGCGAAGGCAGCUCUCUGGUGCGUUCUCCGUAUGGGGAAUCGGUUAACCCGGUCUUCGGAUCAAGUUGACUGAUCCUGACACUGAAACACGAAAGUUGGGGGAGCAAACGGGAUUAGAUACCCCGGUAGUCCCAACCCUAAACGAUGUGCACUUGGCAUAUGCCAUUUGGUAUGUGCCGGAGGUAACCUGUUAAGUGCACCGCCUGGGAACUACGGCCGCAAGGUUGAAACUCAAAGGAAUUGACGGGGACCCGCACAAGCGGUGGAGUAUGUGGUUUAAUUCGAGGCAACGCGAAGAACCUUACCUGGGCUUGACAUGCUGGUAGUACUGCGCCGAAAGGCAAGGGAUCCCACUUCGGUGGGAAGCCAGCACAGGUGCUGCAUGGCUGUCGUCAGCUCGUGCCGUGAGGUGUUAGGUUAAGUCCUGCAACGAGCGCAACCCCUGCCCUUAGUUGCCAACUUGUCGGAAGAUGAGGGCACUCUAAGGGGACUGCCGCAGAUCAUGUGGAGGAAGGUGGGGAUGAGGUCAAGUCAUCAUGGCCUUUAUACCCAGGGCCACACACGUACUACAGUGCCUAUUACAAUGGGGAGCGAGACCGUAAGGUGGAGCAAAUCCCAUCAAAGAUAGGCAUGGUUCGGAUUGAGGGCUGCAAUUCGCCCUCAUGAAGGCGGAAUCGCUAGUAAUCGCAGAUCAGAAUGCUGCGGUGAAUACGUUCUCGGGUCUUGUACACACCGCCC
rnacentral:rRNA from 1 species